rnacentral:rRNA from 1 species
AUGUCAUCCGACCACGUUGCCUCGGGGGCGACCCGGCCUUCGGGCGUCGGGGCCCCCGGUGGACCCCAACCAAACACUGCAUCUGAGCGUCUGAGUACUAUUUGAAUUAAUCAAAACUUUCAACAACGGAUCUCUUGGUUCUGGCAUCGAUGAAGAACGCAGCAAAAUGCGAUAAGUAAUGUGAAUUGCAGAAUUCAGUGAAUCAUCGAAUCUUUGAACGCACAUUGCGCCCCCUGGUACUCCGGGGGGCAUGCCUGUUCGAGCGUCAUUACACCACUCAAGCCUGGCUUGGUUUUGGGCGCCGCGGCCUCCGCGCGCCUCAAUGUGUCCGGCCGAGUCCCCGAUCUCAGAGCGUUGUGGCAACUCAAUCCGCUCGCGAGACCCCGGGGGCGUCGCGCCGUUAAACCCACACUUUCAAAGGUUGACCUCGGAUCAGGUAGG